UGCAAUACUGAUUCCCGUUGAUCCUGCGGGAGAUUGCUGCUAUUAGGGUUCCACUUAGCCAUGCAAGUCAAAGGGGCUCUUCGGAGUCACUGGCAAAAUGCUCAGUAACACGUCAAUAAUCUGCCCUUAGGUCAGGCAUAACCUCGGGAAACUGAGGCUAAUUCCUGAUAGAAGAUUGAGGCUGGAAUGCACUUUCUUCUAAAGAUUCGUCGCCUAAGGAUGAGUUGGCGGCUGAUUAGGUUGUUGGUGAGGUAAUGGCUCACCAAGCCGAAGAUCAGUAUGGGCCUUGAGAGAGGUAGCCCAGAGAAGGACACUGAGAAAAGGGUCCUAGCCCUAAGGGGUGCAGCAGGCAGGAAAACUUUACAAUGCACGAAAGUGUGAUAAGGGAAUCCUAAGUGCUUGCCAUUGGUGAGCUUUUGUCAAGUGUAAAAACCUUGACGAAUAAGUGGUGGGCAAGACUGGUGCCAGCAGCCGCGGUAACACCAGCGCCACGAGUGGUAAUCAUGUUUAUUUGGCCUAAAGCGUCCGUAGCCGAUCAAGUCAGUCUCUUGUUAAAUCGUUGCGCUUAACGCAGCGGCUGCAAGAGAUACUGCCUGGUUAGAGACCGGGAGGAGACAGAGGUACUUCAAGGGUAGCGGUAGAAUGCGAUAAUCCUUGGAUGACCACCAAUGGCGAAGGCAUCUGUCUAGAACGGAUCUGACGGUGAGGGACGAAAGCUAGGGGAGCGAAAGGGAUUAGAUACCCCUGUAGUCCUAGC
rnacentral:rRNA from 1 species